GGGGAUGAUCGGUUUCGACAGCGGCUGUUGAAGCAGGGGAAGCGAGCCGAGGAACGCGGCAAUGAUCUCGUUAACCACGUGCCGCAAAAAAAUAAUCGCCAACAACAAGCGCGAUUCCUUCGCCCUCGCUGCCUGAGCAGCGACUCGCGAAGUGUCAGCCCAGGCGCGUUCCCGUCCUGGAUCCUGGCAUCAGCUAGGGAACUCACCGCAUGCCCCGGUCACGGGGGUGUGUGGGACAUAGAACAGUGACUGGGCCCGUCGGCGGCUUGUCCGCGUGACCGCCGGGGCCGAGAAAAGCACAGCGGACUGCGCUCGGAGAAGCCCUGGUUCUGCACCGUUGGACGCGGGUUCGAUUCCCGCCAUCUCCACUC
rnacentral:tmRNA from 1 species